CGGAACGAACGCUGGCGGCACGCUUAACACAUGCAAGUCGGACGGGGUAUGGGAGCUUGCUCUUAUACUUAGUGGCGGACGGGUGAGUAACACGUGGGAACAUGUCCUGUAGUGGUGGAUAGCUCCGGGAAACUGGAGGUAAUACAGCAUAAGCUCGAGAGAGGAAAGAGAGAUCGCUAUAGGGGUGGCCCGCGGCUGAUUAGGUAGUUGGUGGGGUAAAGGCCUACCAAGCCGAGGAUCAGUAGCUGGUCUGAGAGGAUGGACAGCCACACUGAAACUGAGACACGGUUCAGACUCCUACGGGAGGCAGCAGUGGGGAAUAUUGGACAAUGGGGGCAACCCUGAUCCAGCGAUUGCCGCGUGAGUGAAGAAGGUCUUAGGAUUGUAAAGCUCUUUUGACAGGGAAGAUGAUGACGGUACCUGUAGAAUAAGCACCGGCUAACUCUGUGCCAGCCGCUGC
rnacentral:rRNA from 1 species